rnacentral:rRNA from 1 species
UUUCUACAAGGUGCUGCAUGUUGUCGUCAGCUCGUGCCGUGAGGUGUCGGGUUAAGUCCCAUAACGAGCGCAACCCUUAUCGUUAGUUGCCAUCUGGUAAAGCAGGGGACUCUAGCGAAACUGCCACCGUAAGGUGAGAGGAAGUGGGGAUGAUGUCAAAUCAGCACGGCCCUUAUGUCCAGGGCUACACACGUGUUACAAUGGUCGGUACAGAGGGCAGCUACCUGGUGACAGGAUGCUAAUCUCGAAAACCGGCCUCAGUUCGGAUCGAAGUCUGCAACUCGACUUCGUGAAGCUGGAUUCGCUAGUAAUCGCGCAUCAGCCAUGGCGCGGUGAAUACGGUUCCCGGGCCUU